AUUUUGUGUUGGCCAUCUACUGCCGGUUAUGGGGCCUACCCUUAAGUGUAGUAGGCAUCCCUGGAAAAAACAAUUUUUCAUUUUGAAAAAAAUAUGAAAUGGGUUUUUGGAAUUGGGAGUUGGAAUAGGAGCUUGCUCCGUCCACUCCACGCAUCGACCUGGUAUUGCAGUGUCUCCAGGAGCGGUGCACCCCCU